GACUCUGAGCAGUGGGUCACUCGGCUUGUGUGUUGAAGAAGAAUGCAGCUAGCUGCAAGAACUAAUGUGAAUUGCAGGACACAUUGAUCAUCGACACUUCAAACGCAUUUUGCAGCCCCGGGUUACUCCCAGAGCUAUGCCUGUCUGAGGGUCG